CGCGUGAGGAACCUGCCUCAAAGAGGGGGACAACAGUUGGAAACGACUGCUAAUACCGCAUAAGCCCACGGCUCGGCAUCGAGCAGGGGGAAAAGGAGCAAUCCGCUUUGAGAUGGCCUCGCGUCCGAUUAGCUAGUUGGUGAGGUAAUGGCCCACCAAGGCGACGAUCGGUAGCCGGACUGAGAGGUUGAACGGCCACAUUGGGACUGAGACACGGCCCAGACUCCUACGGGAGGCAGCAGUGGGGAAUAUUGCACAAUGGGGGAAACCCUGAUGCAGCGACGCCGCGUGGAGGAAGAAGGUCUUCGGAUUGUAAACUCCUGUUGUUGAGGAAGAUAAUGACGGUACUCAACAAGGAAGUGACGGCUAACUACGUGCCAGCAGCCGCGGUAAAACGUAGGUCACAAGCGUUGUCCGGAAUUACUGGGUGUAAAGGGAGCGCAGGCGG
rnacentral:rRNA from 1 species